rnacentral:rRNA from 1 species
UAACAAGGUCUCCGUUGGUGAACCAGCGGAGGGAUCAUUACCGAGUUUACAACUCCCAAACCCCUGUGAACAUACCACUUGUUGCCUCGGCGGAUCAGCCCGCUCCCGGUAAAACGGGACGGCCCGCCAGAGGACCCCUAAACUCUGUUUCUAUAUGUAACUUCUGAGUAAAACCAUAAAUAAAUCAAAACUUUCAACAACGGAUCUCUUGGUUCUGGCAUCGAUGAAGAACGCAGCAAAAUGCGAUAAGUAAUGUGAAUUGCAGAAUUCAGUGAAUCAUCGAAUCUUUGAACGCACAUUGCGCCCGCCAGUAUUCUGGCGGGCAUGCCUGUUCGAGCGUCAUUUCAACCCUCAAGCACAGCUUGGUGUUGGGACUCGCGUUAAUUCGCGUUCCUCAAAUUGAUUGGCGGUCACGUCGAGCUUCCAUAGCGUAGUAGUAAAACCCUCGUUACUGGUAAUCGUCGCGGCCACGCCGUUAAACCCCAACUUCUGAAUGUUGACCUCGGAUCAGGUAGGAAUACCCGCUGAACUUAAGCAU